UCAUACAUUACACAAAUAAUUCAGUAUGCAGCCAUUUGUAAGUAUAUACAACAUACCAGUUUGCAAAAUCCAAUAUGAAAUCAUAAUUGACAACAUAGAUAGGAAAAAUGUGAAACAACAUAGAUUGGUCAAAUAUGACACAACAAUGUAAAGAGCAAGUACAUUCUAGUUUACAUUAAGAAAACUAUAAGGUAUUGAGGUUAUUCAGGUUCUUCCAAAUCAGCCCUCCUGGCCCUCCCCUCCUGAUGGCAACUACCAUGCCGUAGCAUAGGGCGAUGAGUAGCAUCAAGUAUCCCACCACCCAAACG
rnacentral:lncRNA from 1 species